rnacentral:rRNA from 1 species
ACGCUCGACACCUACGGGAGGCNGCAGUAGGGAAUCUUCCACAAUGGGCGCAAGCCUGAUGGAGCAACACCGCGUGAGUGAAGAAGGGUUUCGGCUCGUAAAGCUCUGUUGUUGGAGAAGAACGUGCGUGAGAGUAACUGUUCACGCAGUGACGGUAUCCAACCAGAAAGUCACGGCUAACUACGUACCAGCAGCCGCGGUAAUCUGAGCGGGCUGGCAAGGC